rnacentral:rRNA from 1 species
AUUGAACGCUGGCGGCAUGCUUUACACAUGCAAGUCGAACGGUAACAGGCCGUCUGGUCCUGAAUUGAGCUGCUGAGGGGCGAAAAGGGCCUGGCAAUCUCCCGGGGAGGGUGGUAUAACGGCAAGAAUCGGGCGCGAAUACCACAUUCCCCGCGGCGGAGAAAGUGGGACAGCUUAGCACCCGUCGGCAUCACAGCAACCUAGGUCGGAUUAGCUAGUUGGUGGGGUAAAGGCCUAACAAGGCGACGAUCCGAAACUCGUCUGAGAGGAUGAUCAGACACACUGGAACUGAGACACGGGCCAGACUCCCACGGGAGGCAGCAGUGGGGAAUCUUGGACAACGGGCGAAAGCCUGAUCAAGCAAUGCAGCGUGAGGGAAGAAGGCCUUCGGGUUGUAAAGCGCUUUUGUACGGAACGAAAAGGCUCUGGCUAAUACCUGGGGCUGAUGACGGUACCGUAAGAAUAAGCACCGGCUAACUACGUG